UUCCCCUUUCUGCUUGCUUCGCCCACCAGCCAACGUCUCUCUCUCCUCACUCCUUCUUCUUCGCGUGUUCAACUUUCACCGAGUCUUCUGCUUCUAUUUUAUUUUAUUCCUUGCACAUUCUCUGCCCCCACUAAACUCCCUCCGAAUCUGCUGGCCCCUUCUCCUCACUGUUCCCUCUACCAAAUCCAACUGCACCCCUGCAUUUCAUUCUCCCUUGAGUCAACCCACAAACCCAAUAGUUUCUUCAACGGCCCAUCUGCUUCAGCGUCCAGCCCAGCGCCUGCAAGUCUUCGCCCCAUCUCCACAUGUCUACACUUCAACUUUCACCAAGUCAAUGCCAUCAGCUCCUUCCAUCUUCACAUGCGGCUCCUCUCCAGCAAUCAAACCCCACCAAAGCAGCCCCUUGCGUCUUCCCUCUCCAUCGAAGCAGCGAGACCAACUCAACCGUGAGCUUCCUUCACCAUUUUCGACCUGGUCCAAGCUUCCGU
rnacentral:lncRNA from 1 species